rnacentral:rRNA from 1 species
UCGCUCCUACCGAUUGAAUGAUCCGGUGAAAUCGGUGAAGCAUGGCACAAUUUAGGUUUCCUAAACUGUGCUGUUGCGAAAUUGAUUAAACCUUAUCAUUUAGAGGAAGGAG